rnacentral:rRNA from 1 species
CCUACGGUGGUCAGCAGUGGGGAAUAUUGGGCAAUGGAGGCAACUCUUACCCAGCAAUGCCGCGGGAAUGAAGAAGGUCUUCGGAUUGUAAAGUUCUUUAAUUGGGGACGAAAAAAAUGACGGUACCUGAAGAAGAAGCCCCGUCUAACUACGUGCCAGCAGCCGCGGUAAUACGUAGGGGGCAAGCGUUAUCCGGAUUUACUGGGUGUAAAGGGGGCGCAGACGGCGAUGUAAGCCAGGAGUGAAAGCCCGGGGCCCAACCCCGGGACUGCUCUGUGAACUGCGUGGCUGGAGUGCAGGAGGGGCAGGCGGAAUUCCUGGUGUAGCGGUGAAAUACGUAGAUAUCAGGAGGAACACCGGUGGCGAAGGCGGCCUGCUGGACUGCAACUGACGUUGAGGCCCGAAAGCGUGGGGAGCAAACAGGAUUAGAUACCCCAGUAGUC